rnacentral:rRNA from 1 species
UGAGGAAUAUUGGUCAAUGGACGAGAGUCUGAACCAGCCAAGUAGCGUGCAGGAUGACGGCCCUAUGGGUUGUAAACUGCUUUUGUAUGGGGAUAAAGUUAGGGACGUGUCCCUAUUUGCAGGUACCAUACGAAUAAGGACCGGCUAAUUCCGUGCCAGCAGCCGCGGUAAUACGGAAGGUCCGGGCGUUAUCCGGAUUUAUUGGGCUUAAAGGGAGCGUAGGCCGGAGAUUAAGUGUGUUGUGAAAUGUAGACGCUCAACGUCUGACUUGCAGCGCAUACUGGUUUCCUUGAGUACGCACAACGUUGGCGGAAUUCGUCGUGUAGCGGUGAAAUGCUUAGAUAUGACGAAGAACUCCGAUUGCGAAGGCAGCUGACGGGAGCGCAACUGACGCUUAAGCUCGAAGGUGCGGGUAUCGAACAGGAUUAGAUACCCUGGUAGUCCGCACAGUAAACGAUGGAUGCCCGCUGUUGGUACCUGGUAUCAGCGGCUAAGCGAAAGCAUUAAGCAUCCCACCUGGGGAGUACGCCGGCAACGGUG